GACGAACGCUGGCGGCGUGCUUAACACAUGCCAGUCGAACGGAAAGGCCCCUUUGGGGGUACUCGAGUGGCGAACGGGUGAGUAACACGUGAGUAACCUGCCCUUGACUUCGGGAUAACUUCAGGAAACUGGGGCUAAUACCGGAUAGGAAUCCUUGCUGCAUGGUGGGGGUUGGAAAGCUUCGGCGGUUUUGGAUGGACUCGCCGCUUAUCAGCUUGUUGGUGGGGUAGUGGCUUACCAAGGCUUUGACGGGUAGCCGGCCUGAGAGGGCGACCGGCCACAUUGGGACUGAGAUACGGCCCAGACUCCUACGGGAGGCAGCAGUGGGGAAUAUUGCACAAUGGGCGGAAGCCUGAUGCAGCAACGCCGCGUGCGGGAUGACGGCCUUCGGGUUGUAAACCGCUUUCAGCAGGGGCGAAGCUUGUGGUGACGGUACCUGCAGAAGAAGCACCGGCUAACUACGUG
rnacentral:rRNA from 1 species